UACGGGGGGGGCAAGCGUUGUUCGGAAUUACUGGGCGUAAAGGGCUAGUAGGCGGCCUGCUUAGUCAGACGUGAAAUCCCUCGGCUUAACCGGGGAACUGCGUCUGAUACUGGCAGGCUCGAAUCCGGGAGAGGGAUGCAGAAUUCCAGGUGUAGCGGUGAAAUGCGUAGAUAUCUGGAGGAAUACCGGUGGCGAAGGCGGCAUCCUGGACCGGCAUUGACGCUGAAUAGCGAAAGCCAGGGGAG
rnacentral:rRNA from 1 species